rnacentral:tRNA from 1 species
GAAAUAUGGUGACCAAGAUAAAGCUUCUAACUUUUUUCUAUAGCGGUUAAAUUCCGUUUAUAUUUCU